UCCAGCCCAGGUCCGGUGCUCUCCGCCCCGUCCUCUUCUUCCUCCUCCAGCGGAUAAGGGAGACCCUCCGGCAAGGAACGGCCCCGUCAUCUUCCUCCCGUUCCUCCGGUGUCCCUCUACCCCGAUCCUCUUCCAUCCGGCCCAGGCCCUCCACCCGCCGCCCUUCACAUCCAGCGCACAGUCUCGCCAUCGGAUUUAUGCCCUAGCUGAGCGCACACCCGUGUGGAGGAAGAAAUUCGAGGGUCGCAGGCUCCGGCGCCGACGCGGCGCGUGCGGAGGUCGUGUCGGCCAUCAUCGACCGGCGCAACAUCCUGGGGGCGUUGGGCGCGAGACCCUACACGCCGCCGUCUGCUUUGGCGACGAUGUUCCAUACAAGAUGCACAUGGUGACCUCGCACAUCCUUCCAUCCUCGUGGCUUGGACGAGGAGUUGGCAGAGGAGCGAAAGCAGCCUUCGCUGGCAGGUGAGCAGCCAGCAAGGCCCGUGAGAUGGGCUAGGACGAGUCAGGCAAGUGAUUCUAUCUCAUGCAGCUGUGCGCUCCCUUUCUUUGCUUCGAGAUGGUCACAUAACUGAGUGGAGAUUUGCUGCCUGCUACUGCUAGCGUGUGAUGGUGCAGGUUUGUCUUUCGUUUAUUACUAUAUCCCUUUCCUAUUCCCGUCCUUGUAAUGUAAGUUUGUUCUGAGAUGGGCAUGAGGUAGAGAGACUGAUGUGAUAUUUGAUUAGACUGUCGAUUUGUGCCAAGUUGGUGUGUUUAUAUUAUCUGAAGUUGUUUUGGUGUGAGUUUUAAUUCAACUCGACCGGUGCGUCAUAAAUUUGUGGCAAAUAAGAUGAAUUUCGUUAUGGCCGGUCACUGAAUUAGACAUGUUGGUUGUUUGUUUCCAGGUAUUUUGAUGCUGUUAUUGGCCAGAAUCAUAUAAUCUGCACCAUUCUAUUUUAUAGGAUGAACCCAUGUAAUCAUCAGGGUGUCAUGCUCGGCGCAAUACAGUGUUCCCAGGUCUUCUUGCUUUUUACAGAGAAGAAUCAAUGGCUGCUCUGACGUUGAGUGUGGAGUUAUUAGAACCUUGCACCAACUUAAUCACUUCAACAAAGGUUCUCUGUAGAAAAGUGAUCAGCCGUCUGGAAGAGAGAGAUAGAAAUGUAAGGAUGCUAAUGGACUAAUGGUCGGUUGCACUGCAUGCCGGAGCUGUUUCAUGCGAUCUCAUUGCAGACCGUGCCAUCAUAUGAGAAGGAUUGCUGGUCUUUUGGGGGCUUCUUCGUUUCAGUUGAGACAUCGACUUUGCUUCGCUGCCUUCUUGGGAAGGGAGCAUGAGGGAAGGGGAGGCUAUCCUCUCUUGGACUUUUGUACCCCCUACUGUUGGAUUUCUGUACCCCCUACUAUUGGAUUACUGUAUCUCUUGAUGUGGAAAUGUUAUCCAGCUCUAAUUGUAUUUAUGCUACUGUUGAUGCAUAUAUGACUCAUUCUCUAAAAACAUAUUCUGAUACAUCUUUUUUGGCAUAACGUGCUAUAGUUUUUCCUACUAAUAAUGUGGUCAUGCUAUGAAUUUAUGAUGUGGUUUUCUCUACAACUCUUGGGGGUGCAAGUGAAUUUGGAAGUUUUGAUAUUAUUUGCAAGAAAAUGGACCAUGUGGUUGAUGCAUAUUUAUUGUCUCUUUCAGAUUUUGGCAUAAUGUGGAUGGAUCAUAACAACUUCCCGUGUCAUAAGAUCUCUUUGAAGAUUGGUUCUCUGAAAAUUAUAUUGACAAAUAUUGAUCAAACAAUUGGACUAUACAAUGGUACCUUUCUUAAGGCUCUAGGCGAAUGGGUCAUAUAAUAAGCCAAGAUCAUGACUGCAAGUAACAAAGUUUCUAUUUGAUGACUCUUCGCAAAAGACAAGCCCAAAUGUUUGAGAAGAUUGUUUUUUAGUCGCCAAAGCCUCCAUUUUCUCAAGGGCAGACCAAUGUUGCAGCCUCGAGAGUAACAUUAAGGAAAAGCUUGAAGAUACUUUCAGUAGAUGAAACUGGUGCACCAUCUAUAGACACAAGGAACACAUCAUAUCUAGAAGACACUCUAUGGAUUCUAGCUCAAACCUACUGGUUUGGUUGUUCCUCGCACCAACCUGGUUGUGUAGUAUUGGUUAGGGUGAUAGAGAGUCCAGCUGGAGGUCUUCUCGGCUUUGUCGAGGAGCCCAAACAAGGAUUUAAGAAGAGGACACUGAUUCCCUUGGACGAUGAAGCACACUCGGAUCUUUGUUCACCAAAGGCCAACAACUCAUCAUCUUUUCCCGCAACAAUGCGGACACCAAUGCAAUGAAGCACACUCGGAUCUUUGUUCACCAAAGGCCAACAACUCAUCAUCUUUUCCCGCAACAAUGCGGACACCAAUGCAAAGCACUGAUGGAUGGGAACAUCAGCACUACCACAUCCUACUAUAUAUGUCAUACUUCUGUUCAAGUAGAAACUCAUGUCUUUUCCAUGUAUUCUAUAUGUAAAAUGAUCCACGAACUAUGUUGUCAGAUCUAAUCACUUCAAAAAUGUUGUUAGAUGUAAUUACAUCUUAGUGUACUUACUACUUAUGCAAGGCAAUGAUAUGAGCUUUGUAAUCAA